rnacentral:rRNA from 1 species
AGGCGUGAUGACGAGGCACUACGGUGCUGAAGCAACAAAUGCCCUGCUUCCAGGAAAAGCCUCUAAGCAUCAGGUAACAUCAAAUCGUACCCCAAACCGACACAGGUGGUCAGGUAGAGAAUACCAAGGCGCUUGAGAGAACUCGGGUGAAGGAACUAGGCAAAAUGGUGCCGUAACUUCGGGAGAAGGCACGCUGAUAUGUAGGUGAAGUCCCUCGCGGAUGGAGCUGAAAUCAGUCGAAGAUACCAGCUGGCUGCAACUGUUUAUUAAAAACACAGCACUGUGCAAACACGAAAGUGGACGUAUACGGUGUGACGCCUGCCCGGUGCCGGAAGGUUAAUUGAUGGGGUCAGCGCAAGCGAAGCUCUUGAUCGAAGCCCCGGUAAACGGCGGCCGUAACUAUAACGGUCCUAAGGUAGCGAAAUUCCUUGUCGGGUAAGUUCCGACCUGCACGAAUGGCGUAAUGAUGGCCAGGCUGUCUCCACCCGAGACUCAGUGAAAUUGAACUCGCUGUGAAGAUGCAGUGUACCCGCGGCAAGACGGAAAGACCCCGUGAACCUUUACUAUAGCUUGACACUGAACAUUGAGCCUUGAUGUGUAGGAUAGGUGGGAGGCUUAGAAGUGUGGACGCCAGUCUGCAUGGAGCCGACCUUGAAAUACCACCCUUUAAUGUUUGAUGUUCUAACGUGGACCCGUGAUCCGGGUUGCGGACAGUGUCUGGUGGGUAGUUUGACUGGGGCGGUCUCCUCCUAAAGAGUAACGGAGGAGCACGAAGGUUGGCUAAUCCUGGUCGGACAUCAGGAGGUUAGUGCAAUGGCAUAAGCCAGCUUGACUGCGAGCGUGACGGCGCGAGCAGGUGCGAAAGCAGGUCAUAGUGAUCCGGUGGUUCUGAAUGGAAGGGCCAUCGCUCAACGGAUAAAAGGUACUCCGGGGAUAACAGGCUGAUACCGCCCAAGAGUUCAUAUCGACGGCGGUGUUUGGCACCUCGAUGUCGGCUCAUCACAUCCUGGGGCUGAAGUAGGUCCCAAGGGUAUGGCUGUUCGCCAUUUAAAGUGGUACGCGAGCUGGGUUUAGAACGUCGUGAGACAGUUCGGUCCCUAUCUGCCGUGGGCGCUGGAGAACUGAGGGGGGCUGCUCCUAGUACGAGAGGACCGGAGUGGACGCAUCACUGGUGUUCGGGUUGUCAUGCCAAUGGCACUGCCCGGUAGCUAAAUGCGGAAGAGAUAAGUGCUGAAAGCAUCUAAGCACGAAACUUGCCCCGAGAUGAGUUCUCCCUGACCCUUUAAGGGUCCUGAAGGAACGUUGAAGACGACGACGUUGAUAGGCCGGGUGUGUAAGCGCAGCGAUGCGUUGAGCUAACCGGUACUAAUGAACCGUGAGGCUUAACCUUACAACGCCGAAG